AGAAUCUCUUGUCUAAUUUAUUAUACUCUCUGACAAAUUCAUGUUAGUUAGAAAAUAGUUAGAAAAAAAAUAAUAAUACAAAAUUUAUAAUAAUAGCCUAUGGUGUUGCCAGUUAACGAAGGUGUGUCUAUCAGCCUUUCAGAGAGAAAGGGGACAUCGCGCGCACAAAUCAAGUGAAUGAUAACUCCAACCCAGGGUGACGUGCAAAUACUAUAAAUCUAUAGUUUGGAGGGGAAGUCCCGUUCGGACAGUUACCUCGUGAUGUAGGUGAUCUCAACUAAAAAUGAAAAAAAAUGAAGACAAUCCAUUAAUGAUACUGUCAGAAAACACUGUAGGAGAUGUGUAAUAAACUUAUAAUGCUUAAAUCAAGGAAUCGGAAUUAUUUACACCCGUGAACCAUACUCCUGGUUUUGUUUUAAAGAGCCAUUUUAAAGAAACUCUCGAAGUAUUUAAUUUUACAGGGACUCGUUUGAAAGAAAACUAUAUCUUAUAUAAUUAAACAUACAUUAUGCAAGAGCUAAAUCUGCCUAUUGCAGGUAUUUCUUUAGGCCUGAAAUGUUAUCUAAAUUAUUAAUUAGACAUUAAUUAACCUAUUCAGACCAUAAUCAACUCUAGAUGGCAUCGCUAGCCUGCGAUCGUAAGUGGAUGUUGAGCCGAUUUACUGCAUAACCUUCCUUUACGAUUUAACGAUUAAAUGGAUAAUCGAGACUAUGCAGUUUAUCGUACUGACUUUAGUAAUAAUGAUAGAGGCUAGGCGGAAAUUUCAAAUGCUUAGUUCUCGGUUCAUAACUUCAUAGUGGAUCAAUUUAAAUGAAAUUUUCAGAAAAUUGCCAUUACAUUAUCUAGUUUUUAACUAUUAUAGUGAGAACUGCCAACUCGUUAUCGAAUCUGCCAUAAUGUAUCUUUAAAUAUUAAUUUCAAUACCAGUGAGCUGUUGUGUUGAACUGUGAAAUGAGAACAUUAAAGUGGUAGCCUACCAUGUCCGUUCCCUUUUAAUUAAAAGUUAUUUAUAAUCUAACCGAAUUCGACCGUAUUAAUAAUAGGGACUAAGGGUCAAGGUAGGCCAUAAUAUCUUCGUAGUGAGACCGAUAUUGCCGCUUCUGUAAAGCAAAUAGGCUACUCACGAAUAGGCCUAUGGAACGUCGGGUGUAAACAUCAAGGCCACCUGGAGAUUUCGUCAUGGUCAUGAGAUGUAAACACUACGGGUCAGGCAAUUCUCUAUAUAAAACCAAUCCAAAGGAAUUUGGAUAUAUCUCCUGUAGAAACUCAAGAGGUAAAUAUCUUUUGACAAAAUAUUUAUUGUUAUCAACAUGAACAUUUGCAUGAAAAUUUACUCUUUCAUUACUACUGCACAACUUACACUUUAUGAUAAGAAUUAGCGGUACGAGUUCAUCUUGAAAUACAAAAAUAUGCUUACGUUGACAACCAUUUUCUGUAAGUCUAAUGGAGAAUGCAAAACAGAAGUCUGUUUCGACUGUGGUGAAGACAUUCCAUUAAGUCGUAUGAGAAUGCAUAUGGAAGAGAUGCAUGAGGUGAAAUUUUUAGUUGCAAACCUUUUGUACCAAAUGAAUGAUUCUGAUCUUUUCAUAUCAUAUUAAACACCUAUCUUUAAACCUGUCAGGGGACAGCUGUCUAGUCGUUCGGAUGGGACGAAAGACCGAGGUCCCGUGUACACAUUGGCGUGCACGUAAAAGAUCCUAUGGCAGUUGGAAUUCGAUAUAAGAGUAGGCCGUAGCGCCGCUGUCCAAGCAAAAUUUCACUCAUAGCACACUGUUUGGCGUAUGCCCGUCUUCAUUAGCCCAGGUUAGGAGCAAAACAGUAGGACGUUAACCCCAUUGCAUUUUUUCUUUGUGUUUUCCCAAUUGUGCAGUUAUUAUCUUUAGAACACGGAUAAUGAUUCUAUUCUAUUAUCAUUUGAUUCCUAACUUUGCUGAUUAUUUUCUGAAUUCUAAUCGAUUAGCAGAUUGAUGUACAUUUAAAUUAUACGAUCAGUAAAAUCCCCGAGAGGCAUAGAAGUAAAAUUCAGUUAUGAUUUAAUUUACUUAGGAAGAACUUCCAGUUAUAAAAAAGAAGAAAAGAAACAGUACACCUUUGCAUGUCAAAUAGAGGUGUAAGUUGGAAGAGUGUCCUAUUUGUUUCUGCUCUUUUCCACUGGAUAAGAUAUCUGUCCAUUCUUCAGAAUGUAGUGUUGUGUGUGAUGAAAUAACCACUGAGCAAAUUCAUCCAAGAUUUGAAACAUUAAAAGAUGAAAUGGAAAAUAAAAGAAAUCAAUUAAUGUCAGAAGAUAUGUGGGUUAUUUCGGUCUUAAGAAAAUCUUUCAAAGAAACCUCAUCUGAUCAGAUGCAAGAAGCUUCAGAAAAAGAAUGGGAAAGAUCGUUAAAAGCAAAAUUCAUUGGAGAAGAAGGUGUCGAUU